rnacentral:sRNA from 1 species
CAUGAUGAGGUGUGAAUUCCUUAAGCCUAGAGCUCUUUUACAGCUACAAAACUAAUAUAAACUUACACAUUAAAUACAUUAAAUACAGACAAAACUUAAAUACAAUUUCAAAUUUGCAACAUUAAAGAGACCUAUGAUACCGUUUAGAUGAAACUAAACCAGUGGUUUGGGAUUUAAUUAAGAAAGAUAGAGGUUCAAAUUUCAUUAUUUUGCAUUUUGCUUUUUAUUUUGACUUAUAUACUUCAUAUAUUUUUAUAUCCUCGUGUAAAGAAUUUGUGCGUUAAGUAGAUGUCUGAUCCAAUUGUUGUAGAAUCAUGAACAGAGAAAUAAUAUCUUAAAUGAGCUCUGAAAAAUCAGAAAAGUGUGGUAUGGUUGAAAUAUAUGUUUUAUUCAUACUGAUAAUACGCUUAUUUUAUUAUGCAAUUCCUAACCAAUUUAAGAACCUUUUUACAGUGCAGCCAAACUUAUUACACGUUAGAAGUUUUAUGUUAUAUCACUUUGGCAAUCAGAGGUGUAAAUACAAACUUAGGAACUUCAAUCUCAUGGUAAAAAUGAUCCAGAAUAUACUUGUAAUGAUCUUUUAAAAAUUAUUAUCAAAAUGAAAAUAAAAUUAAGAAACCAUGGUGGAAAUUUCCCAGAUGCCCUAAGCAUGCAUUUGCCAGCCUUGAGUGAUCCACUUGGAGGAACAGUGACCCAGAGUGGGAUUUCUCAGUCUUGGCACUAUUGACUUUUUGACUGGUAAUUCCUAGUUGGGCAGGGCUGAGGGUUGCCGUGCACUGGAGGAUGUUUAGAAAGCAUCCCUGGUCUCUGCCCAUUAGAUGCCAGUAGUGCUUUCAGUUGUGAAAAUAAAAAUGCCUCCAGUCAUUGUCAAAUGUCCCCCUGAGGGACAAAUAUCACCAACCUCUCCACCUUGAUUGAGAACCACUGAUCUAGAGCAACUACAGCUGUUAUCUAUUAAUGUUUUUUUUUUGAAAAUCUGAAGUACAGAUCUAUAAAUACGUAUUCACAAUCUGAAAUCCAGAAAGUGCUUAAAUUUAAAACAUUUUUCAUAAUUUUGUAGCAAGCUCACUGGGUAAAACUUCGCCUAAGCUAACAAAAGAUAUUUAAACUCUAUUUGUCUCAAUAUCAGUGUCCAUGUGUGUUGCUACAGAAACAUUUAUGUGUUUAAUUAUAAAAUUCUGCUCUGGAGGUGUUAAAUAAUACAUUUUCAAAAUCUGAAUUCCAAGACACAUUCCAAAACAAUAGUUUAUGGUAGGGGAUUAUGACCCUGUAUUUGAGAAGCAAGUUGACUGUCAACAAUGCUAUACUGAUUUAAUUUUUCCUGAUUUUGACCCUUGGCUAUUUUUAUCCUUCUCAUAUUCCUCUUAUAUAUUUUUCACAAUAAAAUAGGAGACAUGAUAGAAGAUACGUUUUUUGCCCAAAAGAAAAUAAUACACUUAAAAGAUGCCAGUACCUGGUAGUUUUUAUUAUGUGGUUGAUGGCCAGUACUUUCCAUUGCUAUAAACAUUUUGCAUCCAGUUGUAAAUUUUUUCUCAUUGACAUUGCUUUUUAACUUAGUCACUGAAGACAGUCCUCUUAACAGCUUAAAGUAUAUGGACUAGUUUAAUUUGUGACUCUGUUACUGAUUAAACCUAAAUCAUUUUCUUUGUAUUAGGUCGGCAUCACUCUCUUCACUGUGUCUCAUAGGAAAUCUCUUUGGAAACAUCAUGAGUACUACCUGCAUAUGGAUGGCAGAGGCAACUAUGAAUUCAAACAGAUAACAGAAGAUACAGUUGAGUUUGGCUCUUAGAGAAAUCUGGAGAACUAUACCUGCUUCAGUGAAAUAAUUACAGAAUAUACUUAGAAAGGCAAAGUACAUUGUAAAAUAAAGUUGAGCUUAGUUUUUUUAAAAAAAAAAAAAACAAAGCAACAAAUUAGCUAGAUAUAGAAUAAUGGAGAACAAGUUGUUAAAACAUUUAAUAUUAUAUAGGAUAUUGCUAAUUGUGUAUAUGUUGGUUUAAUUAAUAAUAUGUACUAAGAAUGUCCUUAUUCUUGUGGUUAAAAACCUGCCUAAAUUAAAUUGGGCUUCAAUCACUGUAACCUGAUUCAUCCUGGGAUGUAAACCAUUCGAAGUCAGCUAAUUGGACUUUUAUGGCUCUGUCUUUUCCUUCAAUGAAGAACCCUAUUUAAAACUGGGUCAUCAUUUGUCCUGUUCUAGCAAGAUAGUCUUCAGUUUCAUUUUCCUGUGCCCUAUGGUAGUUGGAAACAAAUCAUAAUGUAUUAUUUAAAUGUAUAACAUCAUUGCAUAACAGCGUUUAUUAUACAGUGGCAGAUUUCUUUAGCUGCCACAGUAAUACUCAUUCCUUGUGUGUGUCUUGGAGUGCAUUUGACUCCAGGAAAAGCCAUUUUGAUUUUCCUUAACUAAAUGAUAAAUGUACCCCUCUCAGUCUGCAGUAUUGAGUUGUUUAAAGUAUAUGUGCAGUCUUGCUUACAGGGAGGGGUUACGACGUAUCACACCUAAUCUUCCCAAUGUUUGGGAUAUUAAAACACAAAGUCCUUAACAUGCCAGGCUCAAGGUCUUAUGAGAGUUUUAGAUUUUUUAGAGAAUUAGACAAAUUUGUGUGUGUUAGAAGCCCAUUCAUUAGAAGUGUGGUGGUUAUUUGGUAUUAAACUCCAAAUGAGCCAUAGGAAGGCACUACAUGAAAUAAUGCACUGAGUAUGCAAUGCUAUCACUGUCUAUGACUGUGAUUUUAUGUUUAAAAAGUAUGUUCUAAAAUUAUUAUAUAUACAUGGGUGAAUUAUGUUUCCGAGGCACUGUUUUAUCUCUGUGAAUCUUGAAUAACUUUUUUAUAUUUGGGUUAUUAUGUCGAACAAUCCUAAGAGAAGAUUAUUUCAGUUCAUCAAACCAUCAUUAAUGACUUUAUGUAUUAUUUGCACAGGGAGAAUUGAAACUGAGUAUAAUCAAUAAGCUAGAUAUGAAAUCAGUUUCUCAAACUGAGCUUCAGAAAGGGGCAUUUUAUACUCUUGUUUCUGCAUAACUGGUUUUGUUUUUUUGCAGAAUUAACUAUAACAAUCACUGGCUACCGAAGUAAACUGAUGUACUGAAUUCCAUAAUACAUAACAUUCAAUUUUUACCACUUCUGUUUAGUGAACUUGUAUACUUAUUUUCUGUUCAGAUU